AUUCUACUCCCUCUGAUCCUAAAUUGUUGUCGAAAUAUUACAUGUAUCUAGACGCUUUUUAAGAAUAGAUACAUUCAUAUUUGGGCAAAUUUGAGUCAAUAAUUUAGGAUCAGAGGGAGUAUCUU
rnacentral:pre_miRNA from 1 species